rnacentral:rRNA from 1 species
UACGUAAGUGGCGAGCGUUAUCCGGAAUUACUGGGCGUAAAGCGUGCGUAGGCGGUUUAGUGUGUGGGAAUUGAAAGCCCGGGGCUCAACUCCGGAUCCGGUUCCCAAACUGCUAGACUCGAGAGUAUCAGAGGAGAGCGGAAUUCCCGGUGUAGCGGUAAUAUGCGUAGAUAUUCGGAAGAACACCAGUGGCGAAGGCGGCUCACUGGCCCGGUACUGACGCUGAGGUGCGAAAGCGUGGGGAGCAAACAGG